rnacentral:rRNA from 1 species
AUUGGGACCGCCACUGCUAAAGAGGAGGAAGGAAUGGGCAACGGUAGGUCAGCAUGCCCCGAAUUAUCUGGGCUACACGCGGGCUACAAUGGGUGGGACAAUGGGUAUCGACACCGAAAGGUGAAGGCAAUCUCCUAAACCCAUCCUUAGUUCGGAUUGUGGGUUGCAACUCACCCACAUGAAGCUGGAAUCCGUAGUAAUCGUGUCUCAAAAUGGCACGGUGAAUAAGUCCCUGCUCCUUGCACGAAUUCGCCG